rnacentral:rRNA from 1 species
GGGGAGCAAACAGGAUUAGAUACCCUGGUAGUCCACGCCGUAAACGAUGUCGACUUGGAGGUUGUGCCCUUGAGGCGUGGCUUCCGGAGCUAACGCGUUAAGUCGACCGCCUGGGGAGUACGGCCGCAAGGUUAAAACUCAAAUGAAUUGACGGGGGCCCGCACAAGCGGUGGAGCAUGUGGUUUAAUUCGAUGCAACGCGAAGAACCUUACCUGGUCUUGACAUCCACAGAAGUUUCCAGAGAUGAGAAGGUGCCUUCGGGAACCGUGAGACAGGUGCUGCAUGGCUGUCGUCAGCUCGUGUUGUGAAAUGUUGGGUUAAGUCCCGCAACGAGCGCAACCCUUAUCCUUUGUUGCCAGCGGUCCGGCCGGGAACUCAAAGGAGACUGCCAGUGAUAAACUGGAGGAAGGUGGGGAUGACGUCAAGUCAUCAUGGCCCUUACGACCAGGGCUACACACGUGCUACAAUGGCGCAUACAAAGAGAAGCGACCUCGCGAGAGCAAGCGGACCUCAUAAAGUGCGUCGUAGUCCGGAUUGGAGUCUGCAACUCGACUCCAUGAAGUCGGAAUCGCUAGUAAUCGUGGAUCAGAAUGCCACGGUGAAUACGUUCCCGGGCCUUGUACACACCGCCCGUCACACCAUGGGAGUGGGUUGCAAAAGAAGUAGGUAGCUUAACCUUCG